rnacentral:snRNA from 1 species
GUGCUCAUUUUGGCAGUUUUAGAUAGAGAUACUACAAUGACACAGUGAAGACAUACAUGGCCUCUGUAUAAGAUGACACACUAAUUCAUGAAGCAUUUCAUAUUUUA